rnacentral:rRNA from 1 species
AGUAACACGUGGGUAAUCUGCCUUAGAGUGGGGGGAGUAACCAUCGAAAGAUUGGCUAAUACCGCAUAAGACCACAGGAUCUGCGGAUCUCGAGGUCAAAGGUUUUUCGUCUCUAAGGUGAGCCCGCGCAGGAUUAGCUAGUUGGUAGGGUAAUGGCCUACCAAGGCAACGAUCCUUAGCUGGUCUGAGAGGAUGAUCAGCCACACUGGAACUGAGACACGGUCCAG